AUCAACGCAAUUCAGAGAUGUGAAGCGAACAACCUAAAGCCAGGCAGACGACCACGUUGCUGUUUUAAUGGAAAUCGGAUUUUUUUUCCCAAAUUGAAACUCUUUCGGUCUUUCUUUCCCACUGCACAAUUCCAUAGCCUACCUCUCCACUUCUCUCUCUCCUUGCACCCUCACACCUUAUCAUUUUCCUUCCUUUUCUCGCUAUCCAAACGUACCCGAAUCUUCUGACACUCACAGGAGCUAACAACGCAUAGAGGAUCAGACCUCUUUGGGCCCUAACCAGGUCAUGGCUUGGAGGCACCUAAUCACGCAGGGUUCGAGGCAUCAAUCAGAAUCAGGACUGUACAAAAAUUUGUUUGUCAGGUCCUACUUUCCUGUUAUCAAGCGUGGAGGUGAUGCAGUGAAUGGACUUUUAAAUGCUGAAAGGAGAUUUAAGUCGAGCUAUGCCGGUAAUUUAGCUCGCAGAGUGCGUGAUACAGAUGAAGCUAGUGAAGUUGCACAUCUUAAAGAACUGUACCACCGAAAUGAUCCCGAAGCGGUAAUAAGACUAUUUGAAAGUCAGCCAUCAUUACAUAGUAACACUUCAGCGCUUUCUGAAUAUAUCAAGGCAUUAGUCAGAGUUGAUAGGCUGGAUGAAAGUGAGUUGCUCAAGACAUUGCAGAGAGGCAUUGCUAAUUC
rnacentral:misc_RNA from 1 species